GGCGUAUCAGAGGCGUGUCAGAUUCUUCAGAAGAAGUAGUGUAUAUGUGUAUAUCUGGAGAAUCUGACACUGGUGCGACGUGGAAAAUGUCAACGAAGGCGUGUCAGAUUCUCUAAAAGUAGUAUAUUUCUAGAGAAUCUGACACUGGUGAGACGUGGAAAAUGUCAACGAAGGUGCGUCAGAUUCUCCAAAAGUAAUGUAUUUUUGGAGAAUCUGACACAGGUGCGGCACGGAAUUCAAAAAUAGUAUAUUUCUGGAGAAUCUGAGACGGGUGCGGCACGGAAAACGAUGAGUUGAUGCAACUUAUUUAUGACCUUCACAACAGCAGUAUUUACAACAAGCAAAGCAA
rnacentral:lncRNA from 1 species